rnacentral:rRNA from 1 species
GACGAACGCUGGCGGCGUGCUUAACACAUGCAAGUCGAACGAUGAAGCUGGAGCUUGCUCUGGUGGAUUAGUGGCGAACGGGUGAGUAACACGUGAGUAACCUGCCCUGGACUCUGGGAUAACCCCGAGAAAUCGGAGCUAAUACCGGAUAGGACCUCGGAUCGCAUGAUCUGGGGUGGAAAGUUUUUCGGUCUGGGAUGGACUCGCGGCCUAUCAGCUUGUUGGUGAGGUAAUGGCUCACCAAGGCGUCGACGGGUAGCCGGCCUGAGAGGGUGACCGGCCACACUGGGACUGAGACACGGCCCAGACUCCUACGGGAGGCAGCAGUGGGGAAUAUUGCACAAUGGGCGCAAGCCUGAUGCAGCAACGCCGCGUGCGGGAUGACGGCCUUCGGGUUGUAAAAUCCUUUCACCGGUGAAGAUAAUGACUGUAGCCGGAGAAGAAGCCCCGGCUAACUUCGUGCCAGCCGCCGCGGUAAUAC